rnacentral:rRNA from 1 species
CCUACGGGAGGCAGCAGUGGGGAAUUUUGGACAAUGGGCGCAAGCCUGAUCCAGCCAUGCCGCGUGCAGGAAGAAGGCCUUCGGGUUGUAAACUGCUUUUGUACGGAGCGAAAAGCCCCUGGCGAAUAACCGGGGGUCAUGACGGUACCGUAAGAAUAAGCACCGGCUAACUACGUGCCAGCAGCCGCGGUAAUA